UGCUGGCUAAGCUGGUGUCCCAGCUGCAGUGUUUCGAUCGCACCCACCGGUGCCCCUUCCCCCACGUGCUGUGAGCUGGCGCCAUCUUCGUGCCCAUCCACCUGGUGAAGGAGCGGCUCUUCCCUCGGCUGCCACCUGCUUCUGUGGACCAUGUGCUGCAGGAGCAUCGUGUGGAGCUGUGGCCCACCACACUGUCGGAGGAGCGGGCACUUCGGGAGCUUGCCCUACCGGGCUGUACCUCACGCAUGCUGAAGCUGCUGGCGCUGUGCCAGCUGCCCGACAUUUACCCUGACCUUCUCUGCCUGCAGUGGCGUCGGCCUGCAGUGGUCUUCUGCGCCGGGUCUCUUCCCACACUGAACUUAUCCCAAAUCAUACUCCUGAGCCUUCCUCAGUCGCCACCCUCAGUCUUUUCCACGUCAUUGAAGGGCACCCCUGUUCACAAAGCUCCUCAUGUGGGAGAUCUCCUGAGGGUCACAGGUGCCUUUCUGACCGAGCGGUUCUGCAGUCCUCAGCCCUGACGGCACAAAAGUGCCCAUAGGCUGCGUCGUUUUGUGGUCUGUUUUUUCUCUACUCAUCGUCUUGUGUCUACUAUUCUCCAGCUUGUUUUUUUAAUGUCCUGGAGGAUCACACAACUGCCGAAGUGCCCCGUGGUAUGUAUGAUCACCCUUCUUCAGCUAGGGAUCUGAUGAUGGGACCGACGGGAUUCCGCCAUUGUCCCUCCUGCGUCAGUACACCUGGCAUCACGGCCUGAGGCCCCCUCUAGUUCUACUCUCCCUGUAGCCUCCACCGCCACCCUCUUCCAUCCGCCUCUUCCUGUAGAAACUGUUCCUCCUAGUUCCAUCCCCAUAGCAGCGGCCUUGCUCUGGCCCUUACCUGGUCAGGAUGGAGAAGGGCCUGAGGCAGUGAGAUGUAGAUGCUGAUCAGCAGCCUGGCUGACUAGCAUCCCUGAACCCUGAACAUUUACAGAAUUGGAGCAGAUGCCUUACUGGGAUGCAAAAGAAAUCCAGGCUCAGGCGUUCUGUUACCACUGAGU
rnacentral:lncRNA from 13 species